GACGGAGGGUGCAAGCGUUAUCCGGAUUCACUGGGUUUAAAGGGUGCGUAGGCGGGCAGGUAAGUCCGUGGUGAAAUCUCUGAGCUUAACUCAGAAACUGCCAUGGAUACUAUUUGUCUUGAAUAUUGUGGAGGUAAGCGGAAUAUGUCAUGUAGCGGUGAAAUGCUUAGAUAUGACAUAGAACACCAAUUGCGAAGGCAGCUUACUACACAGUUAUUGACGCUGAGGCACGAAAGCGUGGGGAUCGAACAGG
rnacentral:rRNA from 1 species